ACGCUCCAUCAGAGGAAGACGAUUGUUGUCCAGGACUUUGUUCCUCUCUUCGCUGGAUUAUCCUUUGACCAGAAAACAAUAACGAAAAAAGAUCAUGGAAUAAAGAUACGUGUCUCCAGCUAUUUUUUGUUAUCUGUUAUCACAUGGAACCAACCAAUGUCCUUGGAUGAAGACUCUUUUGUGCUCUUAACUAUGACAGACACAGGAACUGAUGCAAUUGAAGCUCCUGGAUGAUGCUUCUUGAAGCUUUCUUCAACUGGAGAUCGAUCUAGAUCAGUGGACUCUCCAGUGAUUGACACACCAUGGCUCGUUGAAACCUACCAGGUAAGUCUAGUGGGUUGAUCAUCUUCAAUGUCUUCACUGCUAUCCAGCAUGUCUAGCUGGUGUUGAUGAUUCUCUAAACAUUGGACAUCCCUGGAACUAAGUGACUGUAUUUCCUCUAGGAUUGUUUUGAUGUUGAAAUCAUUGUACAGCAUGUCAUUAGCUACAUACCAUGGUGCAUUUGCUAGGAUCUUCAAUCUCUUGGAUUGGAAUCCCUGGAUGAUGUUGAUCAUGCUUUCAACACCUGACUCCUAGAGUUGGAUCAGUUGGAUGCGUGAAAAAGCUUCUUGGAUGGUGGUACCAGCGUGAGGGUAAAAAGAAUGAAGGUUUUUGCACAUGAGAGCACUCGAUGCACUGUUCAAUCAUCUGGAAAACAUUCAAACUCACAAUCGCCAGAGGGGAAUAUUUUAUUCGCCUGAAAAUUUGGACUUAGUCUUCAUCGAUUUUAUUUCCCGGUCACCGUUAUUUGUUAUACGUUGAGUCAAACGUCGCUAUUUUAUCUAGAAUAAUGAAACAAAUUUGUCAGAUAAAGGCUGAGGGAAGAGAAAGCGUUCGACCAUAAAAUCCAAAAAAAUCACAGUCUACCCUAAUAAUUUUUCGCACAAUCUUUCCAGGUUUUAGCUUGAUAUAAAAAGCUAAGGCAUCAAGUUUUUUUUUGUGAUAAACAUUACCAUCACACUUUUUGAAUCUCUUAGUUGACCCGGGAUAUUGUAUAAACAUUGACCAGUUGGGAUGUGUUUGAAUAACUUCUUUCUGUCAUUCAAAUCCAUUUAU